rnacentral:rRNA from 1 species
UUGUCACUAGUUGCCAUCAUUUAGUUGGGCGACUCUAGUGAGACUGCCGGUGGACAAACCGGAGGAAGGUGGGGAUGACGUCAAGUCCUCAUGGCCCUUAUGGGUAGGGCUUCACACGUCAUACAAUGGUCGGUACAGAGGGUUGCCAAGCCGCGAGGUGGAGCCAAUCCCUUAAAGCCGAUCGUAGUCCGGAUCGUAGUCUGCAACUCGACUACGUGAAGUCGGAAUCGCUAGUAAUCGCAGAUCAGCAUGCUGCGGUGAAUACGUUCCCGGGUCUU